rnacentral:rRNA from 1 species
UGGAAGUAAAAAAUCGUAACAAGGUCUCCGUUGGUGAACCAGCGGAGGGAUCAUUACCGAGUUAUACAACUCAUCAACCCUGUGAACAUACCUAAAACGUUGCUUCGGCGGGAACAGACGGCCCCGUAACACGGGCCGCCCCCGCCAGAGGACCCCCUAACUCUGUUUCUAUUAUGUUUCUUCUGAGUAAAACAAGCAAAUAAAUUAAAACUUUCAACAACGGAUCUCUUGGCUCUGGCAUCGAUGAAGAACGCAGCGAAAUGCGAUAAGUAAUGUGAAUUGCAGAAUUCAGUGAAUCAUCGAAUCUUUGAACGCACAUUGCGCCCGCCAGUAUUCUGGCGGGCAUGCCUGUUCGAGCGUCAUUACAACCCUCAGGCCCCCGGGCCUGGCGUUGGGGAUCGGCGAGGCGCCCCCUGCGGGCACACGCCGUCCCCCAAAUACAGUGGCGGUCCCGCCGCAGCUUCCAUUGCGUAGUAGCUAACACCUCGCAACUGGAGAGCGGCGCGGCCACGCCGUAAAACACCCAACUUCUGAAUGUUGACCUCGAAUCAGG